UUCGUAGGCGGCGCUGUAAGUUGGAUUUGAAAUAUCGGGGCUCAACCCCGGAACCGGAUCCAAAACUACAGUGCUAGAGCAGAUCAGAGGGCAGUGGAAUUCCCGGUGUAGCGGUAAUAUGCGUAGAGAUCGGGAGGAACACCAGUGGCGAAGGCGGCUGCCUGGGGUCUUGCUGACGCUGAGGAACGAAAGCUAGGGUAGCGAACG
rnacentral:rRNA from 1 species